AUGUAGUUUUGUUGUGCAUGGUCAAUGUUGGGUUGUACAUAGGACUUAAAGUGACAUAUGAUUCUUCUGCUAUAUAUUUCAAUAAUAAUUGUCAAGUUUAAAACAAAAGGAUUUUGUUUGUCUAACAGUUUUGUUCAUUUCAAAUGUAACUCAUUUAACUGGUAUUUAGAAAAUGUGGUUAGUUUGAUCAAGUAACGUGAGACCCAUGAUGGAGGGCAGGCCAACGAGGGCGGGUCAAGAGAAGGGGAUUAGCAGGCUUCUGGGCUGGCAAGCUUCUGAAAAACAGGUGCACAUGACACUUGAAUCCUACAUCGGAAUGGGAGAGAAAGUGAAGACCCUUAUAAGGCAUAACACAAGUUCACAAUGUACGCUCAGUUUUUGUACUCGAUGAUGGCAUAGCCCAAGGGACAAAUCCGUGAGUAGGCUAUUGGGUCGUGACAAGUAAUAGAUUUAUAAUAGAAAAUAGUUUUUUCCGAUCCUGUAUUCUGGAAUAGAACAUAACUUCUGCACAACAGUGUAUAGUGUGUUUGCACUAUGGUAAAGUGAACUCCCAACAUGUAACUGUCUGUAAAAAGUUUUCCAACCUAGAAAAUAAAGUAGAUAACCUGCUGUAACCAAUAAUUAGAUCCAUUGUACAAAGGAAGGCGUUUUGCUUUUGUAUCCGUCCUUUUAGCA